AAAGCCUCACCACCAGACACCGGAACCUCUCCCUUGGUCUGCACACAUUGGGUCUCAUUAAUGAAACAUUGAAGUGGUCUCAGUGAGAGAGGAGAUAAUCCAGAGAGGUUGAAGCAGCAGCAGCCUGUGUGUGGAGAGGCUCUGACUGGACUGUGUUCCUGGGAGGAAGAGGAAGAGGAGAGCUUCAUCCAGCAGUGACUGACUGAAUCACAGCAGCACUUAGAUGAUAAAGUGUUAAAGUGCAUCUUCUUCACAUAAUUCUACGUUCUAUUGACAUAAACUGAGCUGUGUGUUAACAGGCUGCUAGAAGCUUCUUUGCAUUUCAUUGAGGAACAUUUUCUUUAGUUGGUGCUUGAAGUGCUGACUUUAGAGAAACAUCUUUUACAUGACCUUACAUUUUGGGGGAGUCUCCAUUGGCCUUGAUGACAGCUUUGCACACUCUUGGUAUUCUCUCAGUCAGCUUCAUGAGGUCGUCUCCUGGAGUGGUUUUGAAUGAACAGCUGAGCCCCUGUCAUUUGUGGAAUGAAUCACUUUCUUCAUGUGCUUGAGACCAUUAGUUGUGUUGUCUGCAGAACUCUGUAGCUUGCAUGCUGUUUCUCAUGUAGGUUCUCAUUAAAGGGGCCGAGCCGAGCGGCAUCUGUUGUGGCUGCUACAAUUACUAGUGACAUAAAACUCAUUCAACCCCACUUCAAAAACACUGAAAUAUCCCUUUAAUCUGAGGAUUUGCUGCUUUUCUUUGUAAUUUAUGAAAUGAAAAGAAGAGUUUCAUUUGAACUGUUCAUUUGGUUGAAAAUAAAACGCCUUAUCAACAUGUCA